GGCUCGUUCGUCUAACGGACAGGAUACGAGACCCUCAAUCUCGAGAUAUGGGUUCGACUCCCAUACGGGCUG
rnacentral:tRNA from 1 species